CCCUUAGAUGUUCUGGGCCGCACGCGCGCUACACUGACUGGUGCAACAAGUGUCGCUCCUUGGCCGAUAGGCCUGGGCAAUCUUUGAACGCCAGUCGUGAUGGGGAUAGAUUCUUGCAAUUUUUGAUCUUCAACGAGGAAUUCCUAGUAAACGCGAGUCAUCAACUCGCAUUGAUUACGUCCCUGCCCUUUGUACACACCGCCCGUCGCACCUACCGAUUGAAUGGUCCGGUGAAGCCUCGGGAUUGCGAAUGCUUCGUGCGGACGCGAGAACUUGGCUAAACCUUACCAUUUAGAGGAAGGUGAAGUCGUAACA
rnacentral:rRNA from 1 species